rnacentral:lncRNA from 1 species
UAGAGACAAAAAUAAUAUGAGUUUGUGUUGGGAACAUUUUCAAUAGAAUAAAAAUAAGUGGGAUAAAAAAUAAAAUGAAAAGGGAAAUAAAUAAGGUAAACAAUAAAUAAAAAUAAAAUGGGACAAGUGCAUACGCUAGGGGUUGAACCCCUGACCUUGGAGUCAUGAGGGGUGAACCCCCUUAUCCACUAGGCCAAGCACCCUUUGGUGAUUCAGAAACAAACUAAUAUAAU